rnacentral:rRNA from 1 species
UACGGGGGGGGCAAGCGUUGUUCGGAAUUACUGGGCGUAAAGGGCUCGUAGGCGGCCAACUAAGUCAGACGUGAAAUCCCCAGGCUCAACCUGGGAACUGCGUCUGAUACUGGAUGGCUUGAAUCCGGGAGAGGGAUGCAGAAUUCCAGGUGUAGCGGUGAAAUGCGUAGAUAUCUGGAGGAAUACCGGUGGCGAAGGCGGCAUCCUGGACCGGCAUUGACGCUGAGGAGCGAAAGCUAGGGGAGCAAUCGGG